GACGAACGCUGGCGGCGUGCUUAACACAUGCAAGUCGAACGGAAAGGCCCUGCUUGCAGGGUACUCGAGUGGCGAACGGGUGAGUAACACGUGGGUGAUCUGCCCUGCACUUCGGGAUAAGCCUGGGAAACUGGGUCUAAUACCGGAUAGGAGCCAUUUUUAGUGUGAUGGUUGGAAAGUUUUUUCGGUGUAGGAUGAGCUCGCGGCCUAUCAGCUUGUUGGUGGGGUAAUGGCCUACCAAGGCGGCGACGGGUAGCCGGCCUGAGAGGGUGGACGGCCACAUUGGGACUGAGAGACGGCCCAGACUCCUACGGGAGGCAGCAGUGGGGAAUAUUGCACAAUGGGCGCAAGCCGGAUGCAGCGACGCCGCGGGGGGGAUGACGGCCUUCGGGUUGUAAACUCCUUUCGCUAGGGACGAAGCUUUUUGUGACGGUACCUAGAGAAGAAGCACCGGCUAACUACGUG
rnacentral:rRNA from 1 species